UUACCGAGUGCGGGUCCUUUGGGCCCAACCUCCCAUCCGUGUCUAUUAUACCCUGUUGCUUCGGCGGGCCCGCCGCUUGUCGGCCGCCGGGGGGGCGCCUUUGCCCCCCGGGCCCGUGCCCGCCGGAGACCCCAACACGAACACUGUCUGAAAGCGUGCAGUCUGAGUUGAUUGAAUGCAAUCAGUUAAAACUUUCAACAAUGGAUCUCUUGGUUCCGGCAUCGAUGAAGAACGCAGCGAAAUGCGAUAACUAAUGUGAAUUGCAGAAUUCAGUGAAUCAUCGAGUCUUUGAACGCACAUUGCGCCCCCUGGUAUUCCGGGGGGCAUGCCUGUCCGAGCGUCAUUGCUGCCCUCAAGCCCGGCUUGUGUGUUGGGUCGCCGUCCCCCUCUCCGGGGGGACGGGCCCGAAAGGCAGCGGCGGCACCGCGUCCGAUCCUCGAGCGUAUGGGGCUUUGUCACAUGCUCUGUAGGAUUGGCCGGCGCCUGCCGACGUUUUCCAACCAUUUUUUCCAGGUUGACCUCGGAUCAGGUAGGGAUACCCGCUGAACUUAAGCAUAUCAAUAAGCGGAGGAAAAGAAACCAACCGGGAUUGCCUCAGUAACGGCGAGUGAAGCGGCAAGAGCUCAAAUUUGAAAGCUGGCUCCUUCGGAGUCCGCAUUGUAAUUUGCAGAGGAUGCUUUGGGUGCGGCCCCCGUCUAAGUGCCCUGGAACGGGCCGUCAGA
rnacentral:rRNA from 1 species